CUAGGGGCGGGCCCCCGAUCUCUCUCCCGCCGCCGCUUAGGCAUCGGCCGGGCGCCUGCGCGGAGCCGCCCCCUCGGUUGUCCGCGGGCGGCGCGGCCGGGGUGUUCCCUUCGCAGCCGGGCCGGGGGAGAGCGCCGCUGCCAGGAGCCUCCAUGGGGCGGCGCAGGCAGCUGUGACUGGCUCGCCCUUCCCCAGCCCGGAGCCCAGCCGCAGGAGGCGGCUGCAGAGAGACCGAGAGGAGCCCCCCGGCGCGUCCCCCUCCCUAGUCUCGGCCACCGGCGCACGAAGGAGCCGAGCCCGGCCGCGGCUGCUCGUUUCCCGGCUCCCGGGCUCCGCCCUGGAUGGUGCCCGGCCCUGCCGCGCGCGGGGCUCCCGGGCCGGGAUCCUAGCUCCCUAGCGCCGCUCCCUGCCUGCUGAUGUCGGCGUGGCUGAGCCGGGCGGCGCUGCGGCUGGGGCGGCCGGGGGGCCCCGCCACCGCCGCCCCUUUCUGCCUGGGGUCCUUGCGGGCCCCCCGCUGCUGCCGCCGCCUGGCCACCCUGCGCGGCGGGUCCGAGGGGCUGCGCCUUCCCCCGGCCUCGUCCUCCCCGGCCUCAGGGCUGGCGCCGCCCGGCCGCCCGCGGGCGCUGGGCACCCACCCCAAGAAGGAGCCGAUCGAGGCGCUGAACACGGCGCAGGGCGCCCGCGACUUCAUCUACAGCCUGCACUCCACCGAGCGGAGCUGCCUGCUGCGGGAGCUGCACCGCUUCGAGUCCAUCGCCAUCGCGCAAGCAUCCAGAUACCCAAAACCACUGGUACCCUUUGAGAAGGCAACGAAGCGGGUAACAUCACCAGAGUCAACUAGUACUUUUGAGAAGUUGGAAGUUGCACCACCAUCCCCAGGACAGCUGAAACACGUGUUCUUCCACAAUGCAAUACCUUUUGUAGGGUUUGGAUUCUUGGAUAAUGCAAUUAUGAUUGCUGCGGGAACCCAAAUAGAAUUAUCGAUUGGAGUUGUCCUGGGAAUAACUACUAUGGCAGCUGCUGCUUUGGGAAAUCUUGUUUCAGAUUUAGCUGGACUCGGUUCCAUUUUUAAAAAGUCUUGCAGGCUAUGUUGAAGCUCUAGCUUCGAGAAUGGGCCUGUCAAUUCCUGAUCUGACACCCAAGCAAGCAGAUAUGUGGCAAACGCGUCUCAGUGCACAUGUGGGUAAAGCUAUUGGAGUGACCAUUGGCUGCCUUUUAGGAAUGUUUCCUUUGUUCUUCUUUGGAGAUGAAGAAAAAAAACUGGAAGAGAAAAAUUAACCUUUUUACAAUACAAAUAAAAAUGUAAACUAAUGUACCUCAAUUAUUCAAUUAUGCUGUCAGAAUAUUUAGGAAUUAACUGACAGUAACAAUGUAUAGACCUGGGAACAAAACAUUCAGCAUGUUGUUUUAUGGAUACACUAAUUUAUUGUGGCUUUGUCUUAUUCAGUACAUCUUUUUAUAAGAUACCAUUUAGCUUUUUAUUUAAUGUAAGCUGUUGAAAUGUUCUCACUUAUAGUAGCAACUGACGUUUACUGAUUCCCUCUCACCUUCAUCCGGUAACAGGAUUAUUACUUACUUGCCUGCUCUGGAUGUACUGUGUAGGUUUUGGGUUUCCACAGCUGCUGCCUAACUUGUAAAUGCAUGCCAAAAAGGAUCUUUUAGCUGCUCAUCAGGUCCUCCAGUCCAGACUGUCAGUGGGGCCAGUUGGCAGGUGAUUUGGAAUGAUGUUAUUAAGCACUUUUGCAGUUAUUUUUUUUCCUUUGAGCCACCAUUUCACAUUUCCUCAGGACAGACCUGUCUCAGCAACCCCCCACUGUUUGGUUUGCACUCCUUCACAAUUCUAGCUAAUGUGGCUUACAAGCCAUCCAUUACAUGCCAUCACUUCUUGACAAGAUAAGUGUUUAUAGUGGUGCCUUGUUACCAGGCUCAUCCUUCAGAGUUUAUACACAGUCACUCAAUUUUUUUCCCCUCUGAAGCAGUAUUUUGAGAAUAAAGUUAGUGUGUGGAGUAUCCUUUCUUUCAUCUAACCACCCACUCAAAUAUGUUACAGCACCUACUUGCAGUAAGCAUAACUUUCCUCUCCUCCUGGACUUUCACCAAACUCCAGGAAUUCCAGCUGAGCCUCUAGUGGAGUAAUUAUGUGCUCCUGGUAACUGGAUCAAAAUAAUAAAACUGUGUUUUGUACAGCAUAGCAGAUAGGCUGAGAAGAGCUGUAGACAAGGGAGGGAUGUCUUGAGAUGAAACUGGAAAAGGAGAGUUCUGUUUGAGGUGAUGAUACAUACAGGAAGUCUUUUCCAGAUGAGUGCACAGGGCAAAAAAUGAGGUUGAAUGCUUCGUGCAAAGGGUAUGAACCCAUGCUGUGUUCUGUCCAAGAAAGAUAUGACUUGAAGAUCUGUUUCAAUCAAAUUAAAUCGGAUUCCAGUGUGGCAACUCUGGACACUUUCCAGACCUGCCAGUUCUACAGGUUUCCCUGUAGGCCACAGAUUUUCAAGCCAUUAUAUGGAUUUGUGGGGAAAACCUCUAAUAUAUGGGGAAAUAGCCUCUGUUUGGUUUUUCUUUCCUAUUCAUUUGCGUCCUGGGGAACAAAAGCCAACUGGAGCUGCUACACAAGCUGAUGGACAGUUUGGUCUUCAGUCUGUGGAGCAAACGAGAGCUCUGCUGCACUAUCUGUUAGCUGGGUAAGCAAAGGCUUGAGGGCUGGUGGAGUGCUCAGCUCUUCGGUCUUAGAACUGGCUGGAGAGCUGCUGCUUUCUGCCAGCUCUGCAGUUCCCCUUGAGCUCCCCCAUCUGCCUAUGUGCAUUUGCCCUACCCAUGAGUCUCUAGCAUCAACCUACCCACCCUGGCCCCAGCUCCCCUCUUACCUUAGGAGUCUUCUGGGACAGGCCCUGAUGGCCUGCCCCUGCCCUCCGUAGGUCUUCAUGUGGUACCUGGCUGACUCCCCAUCUCUAGUCUUUCGGGAGCUGAGAACAGGGAACCCACUGCCUCCCAAAUCCCAGAGCCCCAUGGCCUUUAGAGGCAGGGACAUUGCCUCCCAGGCACUGAGCUCUGCUGACUUCAAUCAUACUAGCCAGGAGUAGCUCUACUCAGUAGUUGGGGUUUUCAUACCCAUCCGAUGGGAAACCCCCUGUUGCUGGCAAACUCCUCCCAUGGGGGUGGAACUGUCUUCAGCAGCCAGGGCUGGAGCCAGCAGAGUUUAAUGCCUGCAGAGCCAGGGUGUGGAUUAGACAGUGUUCCACACUUGACAGUCCCCCAAACACUGGAGACAGUGGGUAGCUGGUCCCUCCCAAAAGCACAUAGGUGUGGGAAGCCAUCGCGGGGAGGAAUGGGGAGAGAGGAAAAGAAUAGGGAAUCAUAGGCCUGGGAUGUUCAUCGGGAGGGAUGGAACUUCCACGCCUGGGAUUCCCAUCCUUGCCCUGGGCUCCGUCUAUAAACGGUGAAGCCUAUGGUAUGCUUUCCCUCCUCUUGUGUAAUGUGGGAGCUGGCUUAGUGGAGGGUUUUGUGGGUGAUGGGAUGACUGCAUGGAUUGAAUUGGGUACGAGGUGCAGGGGUGUGUUUUUGUGUGUGUAAUGGGUGGGUGAGGUGUUCAGCACAGGUGGGUGGAACAUGCAUGGGUGUGUGAAGUGAGCAUGUACAAUUGGUGGGUGUGAGGCUGCAUGCAUAGAAUGCAUGUGCAUUGUGUGUGUGUAUGCAGAAUGAGUGGAAUGAAUGGGGGGGUUGGUGGAGGAGUGAGUUGUCUGGGUAGUAUAUGAGUAACGACGUUGGGUAGGAAGAUGGGAUGGAGUGAAAGUGGGUGUGAGAUGAAUGCUAGAUGAGAUGUAUGGAAUGAAUGUAUGAAGUGGGCAUGAGUAGAACAAAUGGACAAAUGUAUCUGAAUUUAUGCAUAUUUAUGCAUGUUCAUACAACUAUAGCUAAAUUAAAAUCUACUGGGUUUUUUUAUUUGCAAAUGUUUGCAGGCAUGGUUUCCUAAUUUAGAAACUCAAUAUGAUGGUCUCUCUCAAUCUUUCUGUUGAAAGCUAUCUUAAGAUGAAUGAGUGCACAUGCCAAAAAUGCUUACAGGUGGUUUCUCUGAUUAGUCAAAGUCAGUCUGGAUUAGUGGAUCUGAUUUGCAGAAUAUAAUUCACAGUUAAAACUAGACCUUUGUUUGUUACUUUUGCUGUGAUGGCAUUUAUUGGAAAAGCAGAUUUGUGGGUUUUUUCCUUUUUUGCCUUAUUAAUUUUACUUAUUUGCAGCCCUGUAUAAUCUUUUAUGUUUAUGUGGUGCGUGAUGAGUUAAGUUGCAAUUACCAUAUUAAAUAUUUUUAAUAUUUCAGUAUAUGACCCAUCUGUACUAUAAUUAUAAAUUCCUUAUAGUUGCCUACAAAGGAGAGGAUCCUCCCUAUGUACAAUAUGGAAGAAGAUACCAAAAGCAGGGUAGAGCUAGAACACUUUAUUUUGGCAGCUCUGCAUUCUUAGAUGAGUUUUUCUAAUCUAUAAAAAGAUAGUAACAAUUACAUUACAUCCCAUGAAACUAAGUGUUUUGUUUGCUGUUGGAAAGACUUUAUUAUUACAGCCCUUAUUUGUUUAACAUGUUUGAUUAGCAGCUUGCCUCCUGGGUGGUAAAUCUGAUCUCCCUCUUGACCACUUCCAGUGGCCCUGCCACAGCAGUACCAGCCCUUUAAUCCUAAUGGAUGAAGAAGGAACAAAGAAAUACUAUCAACUUGUUAAUAAGCUUUGAGAUAGUACUGAUAAAGCAGUGUCUCAAAAUUGCACUUUGCACAAAAAGAUGACUUUUCAUAAACUUUCGGUUAGUAUCCCCUUAAUAUGUAAUAUCAAUUCAAAUGUCCCUUGUUGUAGCAUAGUAUAAUCUUCCUUCCAGUAUAAGUUUUUGUGUUUUACGAGGCACUUGGAUGCUUUAAAAUUGAUCAUCCAGGUAGUUAUCUUGCCUGGAAAGGACACUUUGAUUUUCUUCCUCUGCAUAUGUAUUCAGUUUGCAAUAAGCUUUUCUUCUUUUGACGACUGUUCUUUCCUUUUUUUUUCUUUACAAAGCUAUAAUUAGUCCCUUUAAUAUUUUUUUUAAGAUGGAGAACACACAAAACGCAUGUUGGAUAGCAAUCUAACUGUAUUCAGUUAUUUUGCUAUGGACAUGACAUAAUUCAUCAAUUUAUGGGGGCCAUCUAAUACUCAUCAAAGUGUAACGUGUAAUAAAGUGUAACAAAGAGUUGUUACCAUACUCUAAUGUGUAGUAUUUUGCACAGAAUAGUUUCAGCAGUGUUUCCCAUUACAAUAUUGGCAUUGACAUUUUUAGGCAAUACUCAAGCUUCUGUACUUCACUAACUGAUUUAAAAUUGGAACACUAACUUCAUUCUCAUUAUUUUGAGAGCUUGCAAGAACAAAUACAUAGCUAAAUUCAGCUGUCGUAGUAGUGCUCAUUUAAAAAUGACAAUAUUAAUUCCAUGUACUAUUGUUUAUUACCUUGUGCAUGUACAUUGAGUGCAUUUUGUUGAUACUGUAUCGUAAACUAUUGUUCUGCAACCAAUGUUUUUAACAAGAAAAGAUGAACUAAAAGAUCUUCAAAGAAGUGAAUGUGAUUUUGUUUUAAAACUAUUGAGCUGGCCGUGAAAAAGUAUAAUGGGCAGGCAACACGUGGUUGGAAAUAGUCUUGGGUGUCUCAGACCAGCCGUGGACAGGGAGAUCAUGAAGGUGACUCCCUAGGUCUCCCAGGAUUUGGGAAAGGAAUAGUGAAUACUGUGGGUGAAAUCCUGCCACCUUUGUCACCAGUGGGGAAGUUCUCACAGUUUUCAGAGGGGCUAGAUGUCCCCCUGUAUGUGGGAUGGCUCAGCAAGGCUACAAGAUUAACCCGUGUACCUCAGUAGUGAGAAAAUAGGGUAUCUGCCUGAUCCAGAAUGAGGGAUUUGUGCAUAUUCAGUAUUGUGAAUCUCUCUCAGCAUGUGUUUUUAGUAAAUGAACAAGGGCAGUUCUGAGAACUCUGGCUCUGUUCUUAAAAACACAGAUUUGAAAAGACCAAGCAUAUAACAGAAGAACUACCAUGUUGUCCGUACAAGUUUUUUAAGAGACUUUGUUCUUACUCUAUUUAUUUCUAUCAGUUUUGUACUGUAUGUAAAAUGGGCCUUUAACAUUAAAAACUUGGUAGACGUGAAAUUGUUUAUAUUCUGAAAUGGUAUGUCUUUCAUUGUAACUUUAAAUUUCAUUAUCAGUGUGUUUUUAACAAAUGAUUCAAGUGAUUACUGUAGUUUGAGCAAUUCCUUUUGCUUCCAUUGCCCAUGAUAGAUUCAGGGACAGUUUUUAGAAAUAACCAGCGAAGAACAUGCAUUUGAUAGUAUGGUGUGUGUCAAACUGGGAAAUAUCUUAUUUUUUAUGAAUAUUGUGCAUACCUCUGUGUGUUUACGAUGAGUUACUUGCUAUAGGGUAAGAUCAAAAGGGGUUGUAGAGGAACCAAGCAGGAAAAGGAAAACAAUCACCUAGAUAAGGAAUGUCUCAGCCAGGUUUUUAGCUGUAAAGAAACAACUUAUCUGGUGCCAACAAAGUUACACAGCUGCUUUGUCAAGGCUGAUGAGAGACAGAGAGAGAGAGAGAGAUCAAAAGACUCAGUCAAUUAAAGGAUUUGCCCUGCUGAAAGAGAUGGGGAGAGAGGAUUGUCAGCAGACUGAGGCUGACACACUGAUAGACUGAGACAGAGAGGGUCUGUGAAGAUGCAAACUAAUGCUCAGAAGGGAGGUCAGGAAUAAGCUGGACCUACCUCAGCUAUGCAUAGAAAGUCUGCGCAUCGGUAAGUCAGAAUACAUAUAGGACACUUUUUUGCUUUAACUGCUUUUCCUAAAUGCUGAGUUCCCUUUGGCAAAUAAAUAUUACUUUGUUUUGAA